AUGACUGGCAUGGCGGUGGCGCUGCUCGCCGUGGCCCUCCUACUGCUGGCGACGGGCUGUGCGGGGCGCGACUUCAUCGUCGGCGGCCGCGGCGGGUGGACGGCGAACCCCGCUGAGCCGUUCAACCACUGGGCCGAGCGCAAUCGCUUCCAGGUCAACGACCGCCUCGUGUUUAGGUAUAAAGGGCAAGAGGACUCGGUGCUGGUGGUGAACCAGAGCCACUACGACGCAUGCAACACCAGCGACCCCUUCAUGCGCCUCGGCGGCGGCGAAUCCGGCUUCGUCCUCUCCUACUCCGGCCCUCACUUUUUCAUCAGCGGCGACGCCGGACGCUGCCACGCCGGCGAGCGCCUCAUCGUCGUCGUCCUCGCCGUGCGCGCUACCCCCUCACCUGCUCCUUUAAAACCGUCGCCACCACCCAAGUCAUCCCCCUCGUCGCCACCUCCCGCUCCAGCAGCUGCGGGGAAUUCUUCUACGUCGCCACCUCAGGCGCUGGCGCCGCCGGCUGCGGGGAAUUCUUCCACGUCGCCACCUCCGGCGCCAGCGCCGCCGGCCGCGGGGAAUUCUUCCACUUCGCCGCCUCCGGAACUAGCGCCGCCGCCGGUAACGAAUGGUACGGUGGCACCACCGCCGAGUUCGCCAUCGUCCGCGUCAGCCUUGCGGGGCGGUUUCUUGGCGUGCCUCGUGAUAGCCGGAGCCAUAGUGCUAGCUUGA
rnacentral:rRNA from 1 species